rnacentral:misc_RNA from 1 species
CUGAGUGUAAAAACUCCCAAACCCAUUGUGAACAUACCUUUGUUGCUUCGGCGGAUGCGCCCCGGGCGCGCCCUCACAGGCGUGCCCCGGACCAAGGCGCCCGCCGGGGAACCGAAACUCUUGUUUUCUUACAGAAUCUCUGAGUGUGAUUAUAAAUCAAAUCA